UUUCCGUAGGUGAACCUGCGGAAGGAUCAUUAUUGAAUAAACCUGAUGUGGUUGUAGCUGGCCCUUUCGGGAGCAUGUGCACACCCGUCGUCUUUAUCUUUCCACCUGUGCACCUUUUGUAGACCUGGAUGUAACACUUUCCGAGGCAACUCGGUCGGGAGGAAUGCUGUCAGCUUUCCUUGAAUGUCCAGGCCUAUGUUUUCAUAUACCCCAAAGAACGUAACAGAAUGUAUUAUUGGGCCUUGUGCCUAUAAACUAUAUACAACUUUCAGCAACGGAUCUCUUGGCUCUC
rnacentral:misc_RNA from 1 species